rnacentral:lncRNA from 1 species
CUGGGUGUGUAACAGGACAUUCUUUUCUCUCCCUUGUUGGAGGAGGACUCAAUCCCACAGCUUCACCUUAGCAUUUGGCUUAUGAUGAGGAGUCAGUGCAACCCCUCAAGACACAAUUUUGUCCCAAACUCAAUUCUAAGCUUCGAGUUGAAGCCCUUGGAAAGAAAACUGGGUCUGAGGGAUCCAGAGGCAGAUAUGGAGGUUAAAAGGCACAGCAUAGGUGAGCAUGACUAAUUCCUGGCAAUAAAGCCAAGCUUCCCAUUUCAUGGAUAAAGGUCAUGCUAGUAUCCAUAGCAUAAACAAGGUCUAGGGAAUUCAAAGACUACUGAUAGCAGGGGAGGUACGGUGUACAUGGGUAAGAGUGGAUACUCCCACACCCUAGGCCCCCGUUAACAUGGGUGAAAGCCGCUUUGACACCCAUGGGUGGCACCAUGUCACGGUUGCUGGGAAAUGGGGAUAUAAGGACAGAAGACAGAAAGAGUGACACCUUGCUUUCCCCCCCUCACAUACCCCGGGUAUUUGCUAGGAAGAGAAGGGAACCUGGAAUGCCUCAUUCCCCUCGUUCUAAAUGAGUAGACAUUCAUCUUCAGUCU